rnacentral:rRNA from 1 species
UACGGAGGGGGCCAGCGUUGUUCGGAUUUAUUGGGCGUAAAGGGUGCGUAGGCGGCGGAGUAAGUUGGGUGUGAAAUCCCGGGGCUCAACCUCGGAAUUGCAUUCAAUACUGCUUCGCUCGAGUACUGGAGAGGAGGCUGGAAUUUACGGUGUAGCAGUGAAAUGCGUAGAUAUCGUAAGGAAGGCCGGUGGCGAAAGCGAGCCUCUGGACAGUUACUGACGCUGAUGCACGAAGGCCAGGGGAGCAAACGGG